rnacentral:lncRNA from 1 species
GGAUGCUAGGGAUAGUCCCUGUAAAUUAAGGACUCUGAGAACCCAUACAAGAGCAUCAGCACUGGCUGCAGUCAGCCCAAUAACACAACCAUUCACAAUGGAAUACCAUCCCCUAAACCAGAAGAUCUGACAGGAAGCUGCAACAGAAAAUCUCCCCCUCAUUGGCAACUAGUGACUUGGUGUUUCUCACCAUUCAGGUCAACCUCACAGGAAUGCCUCCCCUGGAUUAGUAGAGGAGGAAUGGAGAAGAGUGUACUUCACUCACCAUCAUCUUGAGCUGGGACUUCCAGACACAGGCCAUCCUCCACGUUGUUUCCACAGAAGAGUCAACCUAGCUGAGCCUUAUCACCCUCCAUCCUAUAAUAAAAGAUCAUUGAAAUUUGACACAAGAUGCAAUCAUCCGCCUGAAGGAUUUUGACAACACUCACGUUUUUAAACUCCACAUUCCCUAUCCCUAGGAAAGAAACCUCAAUAAAU